rnacentral:lncRNA from 1 species
GACCUCUCGACUCAAUCGCAACACUCAAGUACAUCUUUGUGCCAAAGCAUAGAUUCUUUCCAAGAAUACUCUAGAACUUGGCACAUCUAUAUCAACUCUAGAAUUUUGCCCCUUAAGUUAUAAAUAUUUCUAGAUCUCAACUCUACUCGAUCAAAAUCAGUGCGAUAACCAUAUUUGGAUCAAUCAUCAAAAGCUUUCUAUCACAUUUAUGGUUAAGAUAUAGACCAACAAGAUUAGCAUUAAAUAAGUG